rnacentral:ncRNA from 1 species
AAGAGGUGAUCCGACGUUGGUGCCUCGACUAUCGAGGUGAAACGGGAACACGGUGCGGACCUUGUCCUAUUCCGUGGCUGCCCCCGCAACUGUAAGCGGCGAGCGGCAAUCCUUCAUGCCACUGAAUCUUUGGGCCAGACAAGCUCAAGAGGAUUUGGGAAGGCGGAUUGCUCGCGAUGACCUGCAAGCCAGGAGACCGGCCGGCGUCAAAACGCAACC